CNCCCCUNGGGAGUACNCCNCAGGNUGAACUCAAAGGAAUUACGGGGACCGCACNAGCNGUGGAGCAUUUGGUUNAUUCGAAGCAACGCGAAGAACCUUACCAAGUCUUGACAUCCUUUGACCACUCUAGAGAUAGAGCUUUNNCUUCGGGGACAAAGUGACAGGUGGUGCAUGGUUGUCGUCAGCUCGUGUCGUGAGAUGUUGGGUUAAGUCCCGCAACGAGCGCAACCCUUAUUACUAGUUGCCAGCAUUCGGUUGGGCACUCUAGUGAGACUGCCGGUGACAAACCGGAGGAAGGUGGGGAUGACGUCAAAUCAUCAUGCCCCUUAUGACUUGGGCUACACACGUGCUACAAUGGAUGGUACAACGAGCAGCGAACUCGCGAGGGUAAGCGAAUCUCUUAAAGCCAUUCUCAGUUCGGAUUGUAGGCUGCAACUCGCCUACAUGAAGCCGGAAUCGCUAGUANUCGCGGAUCAGCACGCCGCGGUGAAUACGUUCCCGGGUCUUGUACACACCGCCCGUCACACCACGAGAGUUUGUAACACCCAAAGUCGGUGAGGUAANCAUUUGGAGCCAGCCGCCUAAGGUGGGAUAGAUGAUUGGGGUGAAGUCGUAACAANGUANCCA
rnacentral:rRNA from 1 species